GCCAGACUGGAACCGGGAGAGGUAAGAGGUACUACAGGGGUAGGAGGUGAAAUCUUGUAAUCCCUGUGGGACCACCUGUGGCGAAGGCGUCUUACCAGAACGGGUUCGACGGUGAGGGACGAAAGCUGGGGGCACGAACCGGAUUAGAUACCCGGGUAGUCCCAGCCGUAAACGAUGCUCGCUAGGUGUCAGGCAUGGCGCGACCGUGUCUGGUGCCGCAGGGAAGCCGUGAAGCGAGCCACCUGGGAAGUACGGCCGCAAGGCUGAAACUUAAAGGAAUUGGCGGGGGAGCACAACAACGGGUGGAAGCCUGCGGUUUAAUUGGACUCAACGCCGGACAACUCACCGGGGGCGACAGCAAUAUGUAGGCCAAGCUGAAGACUUUGCCUGAAUCGCUGAGAAGUGGUGCAUGG
rnacentral:rRNA from 1 species